UGGGCGCAAGCCUGAUCCAGCCAUACCGCGUGGGUGAAGAAGGCCUUCGGGUUGUAAAGCCCUUUUGUUGGGAAAGAAAAGCAUUCGGUUAAUACCCGAUUGUUCUGACGGUACCCAAAGAAUAAGCACCGGCUAACUUCGUGCCAGCAGCCGCGGUAAUACGAAGGGUGCAAGCGUUACUCGGAAUUACUGGGCGUAAAGCGUGCGUAGGUGGUUGUUUAAGUCUGUCGUGAAAGCCCUGGGCUCAACCUGGGAAUUGCGAUGGAAACUGGGCGACUAGAGUGUGGCAGAGGGUAGUGGAAUUCCUGGUGUAGCAGUGAAAUGCGUAGAGAUCAGGAGGAACAUCCGUGGCGAAGGCGACUGCCUGGGCCAACACUGACACUGAGGCACGAAAGCGUGGGGAGCAAACAGGAUUAGAUACCCUGGUAGUCCACGCCCUAAACGAUGCGAACUGGAUGUUGGGUGCAAUUUGGCACGCAGUAUCGAAGCUAACGCGUUAAGUUCGCCGCCUGGGG
rnacentral:rRNA from 1 species